GCAUAUACUUGAAAUAAACUUCAACAAAGAAAUAUACUUUGUGUACUAUCUAUAGUAAUAAAACACUGUUGGUUCAAGAAGUUCACUAGCAAAAACCUCGACAAAACCAAAUGUAUUCAUAUUUAUAGUAUCAAUAUAAAAAAAUAAACAUCACAAUUGUUCAAACGGUCUUCACCAUUCACUUUAAUGAAUCAAAUUGAUUUGUGGCCACUAUUUCCAAUUGCAUCACCGGUAUUUUCCUACACAUUCAAAAUAAAUUAAAAAUUAGAAAGAAACAAAUAUAUAGUAUGCACUGAUUAUAUCUUACUAAGAACUAAUGAUAUUUUAUUUCACUACUAUAGCAUAACAAUGUCAAACACAAAAAAGAUAUACAAGUGAAAGAGAAGCAAAAUUGUGAAUUAACAUACAUUUUACCUAUCUCCUUCUAUAAUCGCAACAAUCAACAUAACCACCCAGCAUUACGUUGCACAGAAUUACAGGUGUACUAUUUGGUGAAAUAUAAAUACAUUUUCAAGACUUGGGGCAUGAGUUGAGC
rnacentral:lncRNA from 1 species